UACGAAGGGUGCAAGCGUUACUCGGAAUUACUGGGCGUAAAGGGUGCGUAGGUGGUUUGUUAAGUCUGCUGUGAAAUCCCCGGGCUCAACCUGGGAAUGGCAGUGGAUACUGGCAAGCUAGAGUGCGGUAGAGGGUAGUGGAAUUCCCGGUGUAGCAGUGAAAUGCGUAGAGAUCGGGAGGAACACCAGUGGCGAAGGCGGCUACCUGGACCAGCACUGACUCUGAAGCACGAAAGCGUGGGGAGCAAACAGG
rnacentral:rRNA from 1 species